UACAGAGGGUGCAAGCGUUGUUCGGAAUUACUGGGCGUAAAGCGCGUGUAGGCGGUUUGAUAAGGUGGGGGUGAAAUCCCUCGGCUCAACCGAGGAACUGCAUUCAAAACUGUCAGACUUGAGUAUCGGAGGGGGUGGCGGAAUUCCUGGUGUAGAGGUGAAAUUCGUAGAUAUCAGGAGGAACACCCGUGGCGAAGGCGGCCACCUGGAAGAUUACUGACGCUGAGACGCGAAAGCGUGGGGAGCAAACAGG
rnacentral:rRNA from 1 species